CAGUCGCCGCGGUAACACGGAGGGUGCAAGCGUUAAUCGGAAUUACUGGGCGUAAAGCGUGCGUAGGCGGUUCGUUAAGUCUGUUGUGAAAGCCCCGGGCUCAACCUGGGAAUGGCAAUGGAUACUGGCGAGCUAGAGUGUGUCAGAGGAUGGUGGAAUUCCCGGUGUAGCGGUGAAAUGCGUAGAGAUCGGGAGGAACAUCAGUGGCGAAGGCGGCCAUCUGGGACAACACUGACGCUGAGGCACGAAAGCGUGGGGAGCAAACAGGAUUAGAGACCCCUGUAGUCCCUGUCUCUUAUAC
rnacentral:rRNA from 1 species